GCAUGGUCUUAGCUUGCUAAGGCUGAUGGCGACCGGCGCACGGGUGAGUAACACGUAUCCAACCUGCCGUCUACUCUUGGCCAGCCUUCUGAAAGGAAGAUUAAUCCAGGAUGGCAUCAUGAGUUCACAUGUCCGCAUGAUUAAAGGUAUUUUCCGGUAGACGAUGGGGAUGCGUUCCAUUAGAUAGUAGGCGGGGUAACGGCCCACCUAGUCAACGAUGGAUAGGGGUUCUGAGAGGAAGGUCCCCCACAUUGGAACUGAGACACGGUCCAAACUCCUACGGGAGGCAGCAGUGAGGAAUAUUGGUCAAUGGGCGAUGGCCUGAACCAGCCAAGUAGCGUGAAGGAUGACUGCCCUAUGGGUUGUAAACUUCUUUUAUAAAGGAAUAAAGUCGGGUAUGCAUACCCGUUUGCAUGUACUUUAUGAAUAAGGAUCGGCUAACUCCGUGCCAGCAGCCGCGGUAAUACGGAGGAUCCGAGCGUUAUCCGGAUUUAUUGGGUUUAAAGGGAGCGUAGAUGGAUGUUUAAGUCAGUUGUGAAAGUUUGCGGCUCAACCGUAAAAUUGCAGUUGAUACUGGAUGUCUUGAGUGCAGUUGAGGCAGGCGGAAUUCGUGGUGUAGCGGUGAAAUGCUUAGAUAUCACGAAGAACUCCGAUUGC
rnacentral:rRNA from 1 species